CAAAAUGAUGCUAAUGUACCUUUUGUCUUUCAGGUGAACCAUCCCACUCGCCACAAGAAGCCCAAAAGAGGAUGCCCCAAGUUACAUUUUUCACAUCUGUUGGAAUACUGCUGAUAUUUAUUGCUCCACAACAGGCUUCUGUUGUAACCAUAGUAAGAGUCUAGCUGCUGUUCUAGCUCUGGCCAGGAAGUGGAGCUCUAUUAGGAAUGGCCUGAUUUUCACAGAAAUUUUUCCAGUAAUGAUUAUUAUUUUAAAGACCUGUUGGUUUACUGUACUGGAUUUAGCUCAUUCGUUUAUUCUAUCACUUAGGCGCACAACAUUAUGUUUUUUGGUUAACUGCUGUUCUUCUAUAAAUUAACUCAAAUGUUAUCCGCCAUUUGAAUUUCCUCUGAACUGCUGUAACAAAAUAGCCCUAAUUAAUAAAUAUUGUUCAAUGACUUGUGAUUUAUUUAUGUUUUUGUCGGGAGAGAAACUUGAAAAUAAUGGGCCAAAAUUGGAAAGUGUGACACUGAUCUAUGUUUCUAGUUACUGUCUAGUGACCAAGUCCCCAAUUCUACUGGUCAGGGCAGCCAAGACAGUGUAGAUAGACACUAGAACCCGUCACACAAAAAUAGUAUUCCACUUAGUGUAGACAUGUCAGACAGUGACAGCAGAAGAACAUCUGAAUGCAUUAGUAAUCGCAUCACAUUUUAAAGGACACGUCAUGCUAGAUUCUACCCAUUCUCAUAUUUAUAACUCAACAAAAUAAAAGUAAUACAAAUUUACUCACACUUUAAAUUUUUGUGUCCAAACACAAAUCUUUUAGGCACAGCAAGGGGGUUCUUGGAGAAGUUCAGUUGCUGCUUCCUGGUACAGAAGGCUAACAGUUGAACUACAACUCCCAAAAACCACGAUCCAAAUACAGACUGGGAGAAGUUGAAAUAGUAGGC